rnacentral:rRNA from 1 species
AUUGAACGCUGGCGGCAUGGCUAAAAACAUGCAAGUCGAACGCGAAAAAAGGAGCUUGCUCCUUGAGUAGAGUGGCGAAAGGGCGAGUAAUGCGUUUCUAACGUGCCCCAGGGCUGGGGGUAGCUCAUCGAAAGGUGAAUUAAUACCCAAUAAUCCCACCGCGUCGUAUGUCGUGAUGGGCAAAGGUUUACCACCCUGGGAUCGGGGAACGUGCUAUCAGGUUGUUGGUGAGGUAAAGGCUCACCAAGCCUAAGACGGCUAGCGGGUGUGAGAGCACGGCCCGCCGCAUCGGGACUGAGACACUGCCCGG